CCCCUGCGGCGGAAAGGACGAGGCGGUGUCAAUCGGCGAAUGAAUGAUUCAAGGAAACUGCAAGGAAUUCAGUAUAGCUGAAGUGGGAAGCUGAGAAAGAUUGCCCUCCUACUGAAAACAACUAUUUUUAGAUAUUGGAGAAUAUCUAAAUACUGAAUUGUGAUCCUGAAAGAAGAGAAACA